UGCUUAAAUCUGCUUUAUAUCUGCUUAGCUA
rnacentral:piRNA from 2 species